CAGGUUUUGGUAUUGGAUCAAUUUGUCGUUGUACAUCGCUGUUAUCCUGUCAGACUGUGGACGGGCUAAGAUACUUCUGAAGAGGAGGCAGUGCAGUUUUGCUUUUGGAGUACUUACUUCAGAUUAUAUUUAGAACCUUAACUUGCUCUGGAGGUAGCAAGCUAUGUUUUCUUUAUAAUUAUUUGCUAUGUGGCAUCUUGAAUAGCAAUGGAAGCAUGUGGCAUUGAUAAUUAAUCAUCUAUACUAUGCUAGCCCCAACAAAUCGAAUGACUUACAUUUUUGAGUAAAAUAUGCUUAAGGUUUUAAACUGAAGUAUGCAGCUGCAUAUUUUUGCAAAUAUGAAGCUUAGAGCAAACGAAAAAUAUUUGUCCAGCCAUUGUUUUGACAGUUUCUAUUAACUGCUGCGCGAUCUGAAGAUUAAUUUCUACCCAUUGGCAACCGUAGAAAGGAACAUAACACUCUGAUGUCACUUCUCAUUUGUACUCCCAUAGUUCAAUUCAUCGCAGAAAUAAGGUGCUAUAUUAGAGUUAUGCUCUGUUUCAUCAUGAUCUAUUUCUUAUUAUAGUUUCGGCUUUCGACAAUGCUUGCGAAACUGUUCAUUCA